rnacentral:lncRNA from 1 species
CCCGGAGGCGCUACAGUGGGACGCGUACUACCCGUAGAGACGGGGUUUCACCGUAUUAGCCAGGAUGGUCUCAAUCUCCUGACCUCGUGAUCCGCCCGCCUCAGCCUCCCAAAGUGCUAGGAUUACAGGCGUGAGCCACUGCGACCGGCCUGGAAUUUCAUUUUUACUUCCCUUUCUAAGGAUUAAUUGUGCUUUCUGUAUCUGAUGAUUCAUCAAUUCUGGAUAUUUUAAGCCAUGUUCUCUUUUUAAUAAGUCUACAAAUAAAA